GAUGAACGCUGGCGGCGUGCCUAAUACAUGCAAGUCGAGCGAACAGACGAGGAGCUUGCUCCUCUGACGUUAGCGGCGGACGGGUGAGUAACACGUGGAUAACCUACCUAUAAGAGUGGGAUAACUUCGGGAAACCGGAGCUAAUACCGGAUAAUAUAUUGAACCGCAUGGUUCAAUAGUGAAAGACGGUUUUGCUGUCACUUAUAGAUGGAUCCGCGCCGCAUUAGCUAGUUGGUAAGGUAACGGCUUACCAAGGCAACGAUGCGUAGCCGACCUGAGAGGGUGAUCGGCCACACUGGAACUGAGACACGGUCCAGACUCCUACGGGAGGCAGCAGUAGGGAAUCUUCCGCAAUGGGCGAAAGCCUGACGGAGCAACGCCGCGUGAGUGAUGAAGGUCUUCGGAUCGUAAAACUCUGUUAUUAGGGAAGAACAAAUGUGUAAGUAACUAUGCACGUCUUGACGGUACCUAAUCAGAAAGCCACGGCUAACUACGUG
rnacentral:rRNA from 1 species